GAGAAAAUCUUGAGGAAGAGGGAAUGAGAGGAGCAUGAAGAAGAAGGAUCCUGAGGAGAGAGAAUCCCUGCUGUGAGGCUUGCAGCUCAGAGGAAAGAGAUAUCCAGAGCUCCCAGCUAAAUGUGUUCAUCACAGAAUCAACUGGGUUGGAAAAGACCUUUGAGAUCAUCGAGUACGACCUAGUUACUGAAUGGAUGAGCCUCCCAUGAAAUCAGUUUCAACUUUAUUCAUAAAAGGUGAUGCCUUGGGAAGGCUGACCUGAAACAGAGACUGGACAGAGCUAGAGAAUAAAGCAGGUAUCUACAGAAAGGCCUCCAGGAUGCACCUUGGGCAGGACAAAAGCCUGACCAGGGCUGCACCCAAGAGCGGAAUGUGAAAGACACAGCAGCUGCACCUCUAACCACGAGUACCUUAGGUAAUCCCAAUUUUGUGAAUCGGCCUCGAGGGAGCCGUGACUGCUGAUGCAAUUUAACUCAACGUUAAGGCUGAUCUAAAGAUAGGUGUGCUGCAAAACUUGCCAGCGUGGCUCUGUCAGAGGUCUGAUGAGUUAUCUCUGACCAACGUGGAGCUGCUGGCAGAAGAUAAAUUUAGAUGUAGUUAAAGAAGACAACUGAAGAACCCAGACUGACUUUCUCUGCACUCUGCCUCCACUGUUAAUUCCUGGAAACUUGAGUGGGGUAAGACCUCUUGGCUGUCAGACCCUGAAUGCAAACGGAUAGCUUCUUGUUACUGUUUGUAUCGUAAUCAGCCUGUUUGAACAUACCAGGAGUUGCUCUGUUGGUUCACUUAUGGUUUUCAACAGCUGCUCUGAAAGUUCACACAAAAACUUAAAGUACAAGAAAUCAAACAUUACCUCUUGAAGACUUAGAAAAGUCUAAAGUGGAUUCUACAGACCUAUUCAAUAAAUGAUAAUGUGCCCCUGAUAAUUUUAAAUGAAGUUUUGAAGCUGACUUCUUGAAUGAAAUGCUGUGCUAGUUAAAGCUCCGCUAACUCUCC